GAUGAACGCUGGCGGCGUGCCUAAUACAUGCAAGUCGAGCGAACAGACGAUGAGCUUGCUCCUCUGACGUUAGCGGCGGACGGGUGAGUAACACGUGUAUAACCUACCUAUAAGUCUGGGAUAACUUCGGGACACCGGAGCUAAUACCGGAUAAUAUAUUGAACCGCAUGGUUCAAUAGUGAAAGACGGCUUUGCUGUCACUUAUAGAUGGAUCCGCGCCGCAUUAGCUAGUUGGUACGGUAACGGCUUACCAAGGCGACGAUGCGUAGCCGACCUGAGAGGCGGAUAGGCGACACUGGAACUGAGACACGGUCCAGACUCCUACGGGAGGCAGCAGUAGGGAAUGUGACGCAGUGGGCGAGAGCAUGACGGAGCAACGCCGAGUGAGUGAUGAAGGUCUUCGGAUCGUAAAACUCUGUUAUGAGGGAAGAACAAAUGUGUAAGUAACCAUGCACGUCUUGACGGUAACUAAUCAGAAAGCAACGGCUAACUACGUG
rnacentral:rRNA from 1 species